rnacentral:rRNA from 1 species
CUUGCUCCCGGUGGCGUUUGGCGGACGGGUGAGUAACACGUAGGAAUCUGCCUAGUAGUGGGGGAUAACUUGGGGAAACUCAAGCUAAUACCGCAUACGCUCUACGGAGGAAAGCGGGGGAUCUUCGGACCUCGCGCUAUUAGAUGAGCCUGCGUCCGAUUAGCUAGUUGGUGGGGUAAAGGCCCACCAAGGCGACGAUCGGUAGCUGGUCUGAGAGGACGAUCAGCCACACUGGAACUGAGACACGGUCCAGACUCCUACGGGAGGCAGCAGUGGGGAAUAUUGGACAAUGGGCGCAAGCCUGAUCCAGCAAUGCCGCGUGUGUGAAGAAGGCCUGCGGGUUGUAAAGCACUUUAAGCAGGGAAGAAUGGACUAAGGCUAAUAUCCUUGGUCAGUGACGUUACCUGCAGAAUAAGCACCGGCUAACUCCGUGCCAGCAGCCGCGGUAAUACGGAGGGUGCGAGCGUUAAUCGGAAUUACUGGGCGUAAAGCGCGCGUAGGCGGUUGGCUAAGUUUGCUGUGAAAGCCCCGGGCUUAACCUGGGAACUGCAGUGGAUACUGGUUGGCUAGAGUAUGGUAGAGGGUAGUGGAAUUUCCGGUGUAGCAGUGAAAUGCGUAGAGAUGUGGAGGAACACCGAUGGCGAAGGCAGCCCCCUGGGUCGACACUGACGCUCAUGCACGAAAGCGUGAGGAGCAAACAGGAUUAGAUACCCUGGUAGUCCACGCCCUAAACGAUGCGAACUAGGUGUUGGGGAAGGAGACUUCUUUAGUACCGCAGCUAACGCGUGAAGUUCGCCGCCUGGGGAGUACGGUCGCAAGAUUAAAACUCAAAGGAAUUGACGGGGCCCCGCACAAGCAGCGGAGCAUGCGGCUUAAUUCGACGCAACGCGAAGAACCUUACCAAGGCUUGACAUAUAGCGAAAAGUGGCAGAGAUGUCAUGUCCGCAAGGGCGCUAUACAGGUGGUGCAUGGUUGUCGUCAGCUCGUGUCGUGAGAUGUUGGGUUAAGUCCCGCAACGAGCGCAACCCUCGUUCUGUGUUACCAGCAUUUAGUUGGGGACUCACAGGAGACUGCCGGGGUCAACUCGGAGGAAGGUGGGGAUGACGUCAAAUCAUCAUGCCCCUUAUGUCUUGGGCUGCACGCAUGCUACAAUGGCCGGUACAAAGUGCUGCGAAAUCGUAAGAUUGAGCGAAUCACAUAAAGCCGUCUCAGUUCGGAUUGAGUCUACACUCGACCUCAUGAAGUC